GCCCGUACAUCGGCUCCUCGUCAAGCAAUCCGAGUUAUGGGCAAACCCUUUCUCGGCUUCUCACGCAUGUCCUUCCUUCCCUGCGUUCCUUUCUUCUAUCCUCUUUUUCUCUCGCAUUAUUAGUUUCGAUUGGAUCGCAUUUCGAUUCGAUUGUUAACAAAGGAGAGAGAGCAAGAUGGUGCUUUCCCAGAAGCUUCACGAAGCCUUCAAAGGGACGGUGGAGAGGAUCACCGGCCCCCGCACCGUCUCUGCCUUCAAGGAGAAGGGUGUCCUCAGCGUUUCCGAGUUCGUCCUCGCCGGCGAUAACCUCGUCUCCAAGUGCCCUACCUGGUCCUGGGAGGCGGGCGAGCCGAGCAAGAGGAAGUCCUACCUGCCCGCCGACAAGCAAUAUCUCAUCACGAGGAACGUGCCUUGUCUAAGGAGGGCUAUUUCGGUGGAAGAAGAAUAUGAAGCUGCAGGAGGGGAAAUUCUGCUUGAUAACGAUGAUAAUGAUGGCUGGCUUGCGACUCAUGGGAAGCCGAGAGAGACUAAGCAUGACGAGGAGGAUAACUUACCUUCGAUGGACACCCUAGAGAUCAGCAAAGGCCAGGCUAUUCGGUCCAUCCCCUCAUAUUUUGGUGGUGAAGAGGAGGAAGAUAUACCUGACAUGGCAGAUUUUGAAGGUUCCGAUAACCUUGUUGAGAAUGAUCCGGCUACUCUCCAGCCAACUUAUUUUGUUGCACAUGAACCUGAGGAUGACAACAUCCUUCGAACCAGAACAUAUGAUGUUAGCAUCACGUAUGAUAAAUAUUACCAAACUCCUCGUGUAUGGCUUACUGGAUAUGAUGAGUCAAGAAUGCCUUUACAGCCAGAGCUUGUACUUGAAGAUGUGAGCCAGGACCAUGCACACAAAACGAUGCCAGGUUACUGCAAUCAUCUUCAUCCACUUAUGUACAUACUUUGUGCUGAUGUUGCCUUCUUUGCUUCAAGACCUUCCUUACUUACCCUUUUGCUAAAAAAUACAGGUGACAAUUGAGGACCAUCCUCAUCUGCCAGGGAAGCAUGCGUCUGUGCAUCCAUGUCGACAUGGGGCUGUGAUGAAAAAGAUCAUUGAUGUUCUAAUGUCACGUGGAGUUGAACCAGAAGUUGAUAAGUACCUUUUCUUAUUCUUGAAAUUUAUGGCGUCGGUGAUUCCCACCAUCGAAUAUGACUAUACUAUGGACUUUGAUCUUGGUAGCUCCAGCCACUGUUAAAAGGUGGCAGCUAGGGCUGCAGUGGUGGCCUGAAGUGGUCGUUCUUGUCCAUAUGCAGCGUAUCUUGGAACACAUUGUACAUACCACGUGUGUCAUGCAUAUCUGAAUUCUCAGUAACAUGAAAGCUUGUUCAAACUCUUUCUGGUGGUAAAUGGUAAUACAAGUGAAAGAGUCUGACGGUUGUUUGCUACUCAAAUAAAAUUGAAGAAAAAAGAAGUAUGCAGUGUUUGACAUGGUAUA